AGGUAUUGAAGAAGUUGCUCAAGGAUGAUGCCAUAUCCAAAGCAAGGAUUAAUACUGAGUAUUUUCGUCAAAAUGGGCUUAAAGCUUCAGGUCGUGGGUUCACGUCAUAACCCACGACCUGAGGCAUAAAUCAAUAAUGGGGUUCUCAAAGUUACUCACAAGUACAUCUUUUGGAGGUUCAUAUGGAGGCAUGUUUUCAAGUUCUGCUUCUGCAGCAGCAAGAAAAAGUUAGCUUUAAUUAUUCUAUGUUCCCGAGAUUCUUCUUGCUUCCUCAGGUCUUCCAUUUCUGUAUAUUUUUUCCUAAGGGGUAUUAGAAAGAAAUAUAAAGAAGUGGAACACGUGAGGUUGCAAGAAGAAUCUCGGUAACAAAGAAUCAUUAAAGCUAACUUUUUCUUGCUGCUUGUAAAGCAGAACUUGAAAACGUGCCUCCAUAUGAUCCUCCGAAAGAUGCACUGGUGAGUAACUUUGAGAACCCAAUUAUUGCACCUGAUCGGAGUAAGCUCUCAAAACGGCAUGGUGCAACUUCUGCGGCUCAGAUUCUGGAGCAGCAUAUCAGAAUGGUUCUCCCAGGUUUGAACGCUGAGUUAAAUUUCCAUAUGAUGAGUAUUGUUAAAGAGCUGCGAAUGUAUGGAGAAGCUAUUGAAUCUAAACAUUUUCUUCCUUGGUGGAUGGAAGGAGUCAGGAGAUGUCAACUAAAGAGUUGUCAGGUGGAGCCAGGAUUCACUACAUUUUCCAGUCAAUUUUUGUAAAGAGCUUGGAGGAAGUGGACCCUUGUGACGAUCUAUCUGAUGAUGAUAUCCGAACGGCUAUUCAAAAUGCCACUGGUCUUAGAAAUAC